rnacentral:rRNA from 1 species
CCUACGGGUGGCAGCAGUGGGGAAUAUUGGACAAUGGGCGAAAGCCUGAUCCAGCCAUGCCGCGUGUGUGAAGAAUGCCUUCGGGUUGUAAAGCACUUUCAGUGGGGAAGAAAGCCUUGGGGCUAAUACCCUCGAGGAAGGACAUCACCCACAGAAGAAGCACCGGCUAACUCCGUGCCAGCAGCCGCGGUAAUACGGAGGGUGCGAGCGUUAAUCGGAAUUACUGGGCGUAAAGCGCGCGUAGGCGGUCUGAUAAGCCGGUUGUGAAAGCCCCGGGCUCAACCUGGGAACGGCAUCCGGAACUGUCAGGCUAGAGUGCAGGAGAGGAAGGUAGAAUUCCCGGUGUAGCGGUGAAAUGCGUAGAGAUCGGGAGGAAUACCAGUGGCGAAGGCGGCCUUCUGGACUGACACUGACGCUGAGGUGCGAAAGCGUGGGUAGCAAACAGGAUUAGAUACCCCUGUAGUC